AACGAACGCUGGCGGCAUGCCUAACACAUGCAAGUCGAACGAGACCUUCGGGUCUAGUGGCGCACGGGUGCGUAACGCGUGGGAACCUGCCCUUAGGUUCGGAAUAACUCCCCGAAAGGGGUGCUAAUACCGGAUACUGUCUUCGGACGAAAGAUUUAUCGCCUGUGGAUGGGCCCGCGUUGGAUUAGCUAGUUGGUAGGGUAAAAGCCUACCAAGGCGACGAUCCAUAGCUGGUCUGAGAGGAUGAUCAGCCACACUGGGACUGAGACACGGCCCAGACUCCUACGGGAGGCAGCAGUGGGGAAUAUUGGACAAUGGGCGAAAGCCUGAUCCAGCAAUGCCGCGUGAGUGAUGAAGGCCUUAGGGUUGUAAAGCUCUUUUACCCGGGAUGAUAAUGACAGUACCGGGAGAAUAAGCCCCGGCUAACUCCGUG
rnacentral:rRNA from 1 species